rnacentral:tRNA from 1 species
GUCUUGGAAGUGUAGUAGUGAAGACGCUUGCCUGGUAAACAAGAGGGUGCGGGUUCGAUCCCAGCCGAGGCU